rnacentral:rRNA from 1 species
AACGCUGGCGGCAUGCCUUAACAUGCAAGUCGAACGGCAGCACGGACUUCGGUCUGGUGGCGAGUGGCGAACGGGUGAGUAAUACAUCGGAACGUGUCCUGGAGUGGGGGAUAGCCCGGCGAAAGCCGGAUUAAUACCGCAUACGCUCUACGGAGGAAAGGGGGGGAUCGCAAGACCUCUCGCUCAAGGGGCGGCCGAUGGUAGAUUAGCUAGUUGGUGGGGUAAAGGCCUACCAAGGCGACGAUCUGUAGCUGGUCUGAGAGGACGACCAGCCACACUGGGACUGAGACACGGCCCAGACUCCUACGGGAGGCAGCAGUGGGGAAUUUUGGACAAUGGGCGCAAGCCUGAUCCAGCAAUGCCGCGUGUGUGAAGAAGGCCUUCGGGUUGUAAAGCACUUUUGUCCGGAAAGAAAACUUCUGCCCUAAUACGGCGGGAGGAUGACGGUACCGGAAGAAUAAGCACCGGCUAACUACGUGCCAGCAGCCGCGGUAAUACGUAGGGUGCAAGCGUUAAUCGGAAUUACUGGGCGUAAAGCGUGCGCAGGCGGUUCGUUAAGACAGAUGUGAAAUCCCCGGGCUUAACC